GGAGGGCUUGCUGGGAACACUGAAACCUUCUGAACACACACGAGUUUUUCUCCUUGACACUGAAGUCCACCCACUCUUCAGGAGAGAGCCAGAUAAUACAGGCUACGGAUGUUCAGCAUUUGAUACAAUCACAAGUAUUUUGUCGAGAAGAGCCUGCACCCUCAGAUGGUCUCAGCUGUAGGUGUAUGUUCUUCUAAAUUCUUUAUCUAUAAGCAGUACCAAGAACUGAUGGGGUCAUGGGAAUGCAGUGGUGACGUGGCAGGUGACAGUGCUUCCAAUACAGCAUCAGUCCUUCCAAACUGUGGUCCUGAGAUCCACAAUUUACAUUUUCAGCAUCUCUUCUCAAGGCAUAUUGCUACAACAUGUGAAACAACAUUUCACUUGCAAGAAAUCAUGUCUGAAGUUGCAUGAACCCAAGGGAUUGUUAUGUGCUGCUGGGAAAUAACAUUUUGGCAUUUUCAUUCCUUAAAUUUCUUGUAAAUCUGUGCGUGUGAGCUUAGAUGUCUCCUGUGUUUCCAUUUAACCCAACCUGAUAUUUUCAUCUCCUUCUGUGAGAAAAAUAAAAAGCCUACCGUCUUCUCCA
rnacentral:lncRNA from 1 species